rnacentral:rRNA from 1 species
CCUACGGGAGGCAGCAGUGGGGAAUAUUGGACAAUGGGGGCAACCCUGAUCCAGCCAUGCCGCGUGUGUGAAGAAGGCCCUCGGGUUGUAAAGCACUUUCAGUGAGGAAGAACGCCUGGUGGUUAAUACCCAUCAGGAAUGACAUCACUCACAGAAGAAGCACCGGCUAACUCCGUGCCAGCAGCCGCGGUAAUACGGAGGGUGCGAGCGUUAAUCGGAAUUACUGGGCGUAAAGCGCGCGUAGGUGGCUUGAUAAGCCGGUUGUGAAAGCCCCGGGCUCAACCUGGGAACGGCAUCCGGAACUGUCAAGCUAGAGUGCAGGAGAGGAAGGUAGAAUUCCUGGUGUAGCGGUGAAAUGUGUAGAGAUCGGGAGGAAUACCAGUGGCGAAGGCGGCCUUCUGGACUGACACUGACACUGAGGUGCGAAAGCGUGGGUAGCAAACAGGAUUAGAUACCCUAGUAGUC